rnacentral:rRNA from 1 species
AUUGAACGCUGGCGGCAGGCCUAACACAUGCAAGUCGAGCGGAGCGGCGGACGGGUGAGUAAUGCCGAGGAAUCUGCAAGGUAGUGGGGGAUAAAGUCAGGAAAUGGGAGCUAAUACUACAAACUAUCAGAGGAGCCAAGGUCGGAGUAGGUAGUUGGUGGGGUAAAGGCCUACCAAGGCGACGAUCCUGAACUGGUGUGAGAGGAUGAGCAUUCACACUGGAACUGAGACACGGUCCAGACUCCUACGGGAGGCAGCAGUGGGGAAUAUUGGACAAUGGGCGAAAGCCUGAUCCAGCCAUGCCGCGUGUGUGAAGAAGGUCUUCGGAUUGUAAAGCCCUUUCAGUUGGGAGGCGUUACCAACAGAAUAAGCACCGGCUAACUUCGUGCCAGCCGCCGCGGUAAUUC